rnacentral:rRNA from 1 species
UUGGUGGGGUAAUGGCCUACCAAGGCUUUGACGGGUAGCCGGCCUGAGAGGGUGACCGGCCACACUGGGACUGAGAUACGGCCCAGACUCCUACGGGAGGCAGCAGUGGGGAAUAUUGCACAAUGGGCGCAAGCCUGAUGCAGCGACGCCGCGUGAGGGAUGACGGCCUUCGGGUUGUAAACCUCUUUCAGUAGGGACGCAGGCCUCAGUUUUUGUUGGGGUUGACUUUACUUACAGAAGAAGCGCCGGCUAACUACGUGCCAGCAGCCGCGGUAAUACGUAGGGCGCCAGCGUUGUCCGGAAUUAUUGGGCGUAAAGAGCUCGUAGGCGGUUUGUCGCGUCUGUCGUGAAAACCCACAGCUUAACUGUGGGCUUGCGGUGGGUACGGGCAGGCUUGAGUGCGGUAGGGGAGACUGGAAUUCCUGGUGUAGCGGUGGAAUGCACAGAUAUCAGGAGGAACACCGGUGGCGAAGGCGGGUCUCUGGGCCGUUACUGACGCUGAGGAGCGAAAGCAUGGGGAGCGAACAGGAUUAGAUACCCUGGUAGUCCAUGCCGUAAACGUUGGGCACUAGGUGUGGGGAAUGUUUCCACGUUUUCUGCGCCGUAGCUAACGCAUUAAGUGCCCCGCCUGGGGAGUACGGCCGCAAGGCUAAAACUCAAAGGAAUUGACGGGGGCCCGCACCAGCGGCGGAGCAUGCGGAUUAAUUCGAUGCAACGCGAAGAACCUUACCAAGGCUUGACAUACAUCCAGAGCGUGCAGAGAUGUGCGUGCAUUUGGUUGGGGGUGUACAGGUGGUGCAUGGUUGUCGUCAGCUCGUGUCGUGAGAUGUUGGAGUUAAGUCCCGCAACGAGCGCAACCCUUGUCUCAUGUUGCCAGCACGUUAUGGUGGGGACUCGUGAGAGACUGCCGGGGUUAACUCGGAGGAAGGUGGGGAUGACGUCAAAUCAUCAUGCCCCUUAUGUCUUGGGCUUCACGCAUGCUACAAUGGCUAGUACAGAGGGUUGCGAUAUCGUGAGGUUGAGCUAAUCCCUUAAAGCUGGUCUCAGUUCGGAUUGGGGUCUGCAACUCGACCCCAUGAAGUCGGAGUCGCUAGUAAUCGCAGAUCAGCAACGCUGCGGUGAAUACGUUCUCGGGCCUUGUACACACCGCCCGUCACGUCACGAAAGUUGGUAACACCCGAAGCUCAUGGCCUAACCGUUU